rnacentral:snoRNA from 1 species
AUCCUAUGAUUUGGGCAUUUUCUCAAUACAUAUUGAAUCUUUCCCAUGUCUCAAAGAAGACUUCAUAUGCUCCUUAUCUGAACAUAGAAAUUUCAAACUUUGCUU